UUGCCCUAGUAACGGCGAGUGAAGCGGCAACAGCUCAAAUUUGAAAGCUAGCCUUCGGGUUCGCAUUGUAAUUUGUAGAGGAUGAUUUGGGGAAGCCGCCUGUCUAAGUUCCUUGGAACAGGACGUCAUAGAGGGUGAGAAUCCCGUAUGUGACAGGAAAUGGCACCCUAUGUAAAUCUCCUUCGACGAGUCGAGUUGUUUGGGAAUGCAGCUCUAAAUGGGAGGUAAAUUUCUUCUAAAGCUAAAUAUUGGCGAGAGACCGAUAGCGCACAAGUAGAGUGAUCGAAAGAUGAAAAGCACUUUGGAAAGAGAGUUAAAAAGCACGUGAAAUUGUUGAAAGGGAAGCGCUUGCAAUCAGACUUGUUUAAACUGUUCGGCCGGUCUUCUGACCGGUUUACUCAGUUUGGACAGGCCAGCAUCAGUUUCGGCGGCCGGAUAAAGGCUCUGGGAAUGUGGCCUCCACUUCGGUGGAGGUGUUAUAGCCCAGGGUGUAAUACGGCCAGCCGGGACUGAGGUCCGCGCUUCGGCUAGGAUGCUGGCGUAAUGGUUGUAAGCGACCCGUCUUGAAACACGGACCAAAA
rnacentral:rRNA from 1 species